rnacentral:rRNA from 1 species
GACGAACGCUGGCGGCGUGCUUAACACAUGCAAGUCGAGCGGUAAGGCCCUUCGGGGUACACGAGCGGCGAACGGGUGAGUAACACGUGGGUGAUCUGCCUCGCACUUCGGGAUAAGCCUGGGAAACUGGGUCUAAUACCGGAUAUGACCACUGGUCGCAUGGUUGGUGGUGGAAAGAUUUAUCGGUGCGAGAUGGGCCCGCGGCCUAUCAGCUUGUUGGUGGGGUAAUGGCCUACCAAGGCGACGACGGGUAGCCGGCCUGAGAGGGCGACCGGCCACACUGGGACUGAGACACGGCCCAGACUCCUACGGGAGGCAGCAGUGGGGAAUAUUGCACAAUGGGCGAAAGCCUGAUGCAGCGACGCCGCGUGAGGGAUGACGGCCUUCGGGUUGUAAACCUCUUUCGACAGGGACGAAGCGUGAGUGACGGUACCUGUAGAAGAAGCACCGGCCAACUACGUG